rnacentral:rRNA from 4 species
AAAUUGAAGAGUUUGAUCAUGGCUCAGAUUGAACGCUGGCGGCAGGCCUAACACAUGCAAGUCGAACGGUAACAGGAAGCAGCUUGCUGCUUUGCUGACGAGUGGCGGACGGGUGAGUAAUGUCUGGGAAACUGCCUGAUGGAGGGGGAUAACUACUGGAAACGGUGGCUAAUACCGCAUAACGUCGCAAGACCAAAGAGGGGGACCUUCGGGCCUCUUGCCAUCAGAUGUGCCCAGAUGGGAUUAGCUUGUUGGUGAGGUAACGGCUCACCAAGGCGACGAUCCCUAGCUGGUCUGAGAGGAUGACCAGCCACACUGGAACUGAGACACGGUCCAGACUCCUACGGGAGGCAGCAGUGGGGAAUAUUGCACAAUGGGCGCAAGCCUGAUGCAGCCAUGCCGCGUGUAUGAAGAAGGCCUUCGGGUUGUAAAGUACUUUCAGCGGGGAGGAAGGUGUUGUGGUUAAUAACCACAGCAAUUGACGUUACCC